ACUCUUCAACUUAUUGUGUCUCUAUGUUUGUUGAUGAGAGCUGAUUGUUGUGUCAUUUCCUCACUGCACAGAGAUCAGCUGUCAGUCAAACAUUAUGGGAUGUCCUUUGACAUCUUGUCAUUAGUUGUUGUGUAAAUGGUUUUGUUUCUUUAGGUGACUCCUUCCUGUGUCUGUUUAGCCACGGAGGCUAUCACUGCUCAUGAUGUUUGUUGACCUGAACUGAGAAUGAAAACUUCUCUGCUGUCUAAAUGUUUGAAUAUUUGUAUCGAUGUAUUUGUAUGUAGUAUCUCUUCACAUCAUGGGUGUAAGAGACACACACACA